rnacentral:rRNA from 1 species
GCUUGACUGUAUCCUGGAAUUGGGUUCGGGCUUUUCUUGCGCAGCCUAGGUGGGAGGCAUUGAAGAUUUCUUUCGGGAAGUUGGAGCCAUCAUUGAGAGACCACUCUGGAGAGGCUAGAAUCCUAAUGGUGAUCCUUGAAUCAGGACACUUGACAGUUUCAGGUGGCAGUUUUUCUGGGCGGAAACCUCAUAAAAGGUAACUGAGGCGCGCAAAGGUUCCCUCAGUCUGGACGGAAAUCAGACAACGAGUGUAAAGGCAAAAGGAGCUUGACUGCAAGACCCACAAGUCGAGCAGGAGCGAAAGCUGGCCUUAGUGAUCCGACGGUGCCGUGUGGAAGGGCCGUCGCUCAACGAAUAAAAGUUA